GACGAACCGUGCGAACGUUAUUCGGAAUCACUGGGCUUAAAGGGCGCGUAGGCGGGCCGCCAAGUCAGGGGUGAAAGCCCCCAGCUCAACUGGGGAAGUGCCUUUGAUACUGGCGGUCUCGAGGGGGAUAGGGGCGUGCGGAACUCCCGGUGGAGCGGUGAAAUGCGUAGAUAUCGGAAGGAACACCGGUGGCGAAAGCGGCGCGCUGGAUCGCUUCUGACGCUGAGGCGCGAAAGCCAGGGGAGCGAACGGG
rnacentral:rRNA from 1 species